GCUUUUGUAGACCUUUUCAGGUCUAUGUUGCUUCAUUUACCCCCAAUGUAUGUUAAUAGAAUGUUGUGCCUAUAAUAAUAUAUACAACUUUCAGCAACUGCGAUAAGUAAUGUGAAUUGCAGAAUUCAGUGAAUCAUCGAAUCUUUGAACGCACCUUGCGCUCCUUGGUAUUCCGAGGAGCAUGCCUGUUUGAGUGUCAUUAAUAUAUCAACCUUCUCUUGUUGAGUGGUUUGGAUGUGGGAGUUUGCUGGCCUCUUGAAAGGUUUUAGCUCUCCUGAAAUGCAUUAGCGGAACAACCCUGUUCAUUGGCGUGAUAACUAUCGACGCUAUUGAAUGUAAAGGGCAGUUUGGCUUUCUAACAGUCCUUGGACAGCUCAUCAUUAAUGUGACCUCAAAUCAGGUAGGACUACCCGCUGAACUUAAGCAUAUCAAUAAGCGGAGGAAAAGAAACUAACAAGGAUUCCCCUAGUA
rnacentral:rRNA from 1 species